GUGCUUGCUUCAGUAGCACAUAUACUAAAAUUGGACCGAUAUAGAGAUUAGCAUAGCCCCUACACAAGCAUGACAUGUGAAUUUGUGAAACAUUCCAUAUUUUU
ensembl:snRNA U6 U6 spliceosomal RNA